CAACAGGGAUUGCCCUAGUAACGGCGAGUGAAGCGGCAACAGCUCAAAUUUGAAAUCUGGCUUCGGCCCGAGUUGUAAUUUGCAGAGGAUGUUCUGGCGCGGUGCCUUCCGAGUUCCCUGGAACGGGACGCCAUAGAGGGUGAGAGCCCCGUAUGGUUGGAUACCAAGCCUGUGUGAAACUCCUUCGACGAGUCGAGUAGUUUGGGAAUGCUGCUCAAAAUGGGAGGUAAAUCUCUUCUAAAGCUAAAUAUUGGCCAGAGACCGAUAGCGCACAAGUAGAGUGAUCGAAAGAUGAAAAGCACCUUGAAAAGGGGGUUAAACAGUACGUGAAAUUGUUGAAAGGGAAGCGCUCAUGACCAGACUUGUGCUGGGCAGCUCAUCCGGGGUUCUCCCCGGUGCAUUCUGCCCAGUUCAGGCCAGCAUCGAUUUUUGCUGGGGGAUAAGAACGGUAGGAACGUGGCCCUCCUUCGGGAGGGUGUUAUAGCCUACCGUACGAUACCCUAGCGGAGAUCGAGGUUCGCGCAUCUGCAAGGAUGCUGGCGUAAUGGUCAUCAGCGACCCGUCUUGAAACACGGACCAAGGAGUCGUCCAUUAGAGCGAGCGUUUGGGUGUAAAACCCGCACGCGUAAUGAAAGUGAAAUUAGGUGAGAGCUUCGGCGCAUCAUCGACCGAUCCUGAUGUUCUCGGAUGGAUUUGAGUAAGAGUUUUAACGGACGGACCCGAAAGACAGUGAACUAUGCUUGUAUAGGGUGAAGCCAGAGGAAACUCUGGUGGAGGCUCGCAGCGGUUCUGACGUGCAAAUCGAUCGUCAAAUAUGAGCAUGGGGGCGAAAGACUAAUCGAACUGUCUAGUAGCUGGUUACCGCCGA
rnacentral:rRNA from 1 species